UAGGGAAUAUUGCUUAAUGGGCGAAAGCCUGAAGCAGCAACGCCGCGUGUGCGAUGAAGGCCUUCGGGUUGUAAAGCACUUUUCGAGGGGAUGAGGAAGGACAGUACCCUUGGAAUAAGUCUCGGCUAACUACGUGCCAGCAGCCGCGGUAAAACGUAGGAGACGAGCGUUAUCCGGAUUUACUGGGCGUAAAGCGCGUGUAGGCGGUCUGGAAAGUUGGAUGUGAAAGCUCCCGGCUUAACUGGGAGAGGUCGUUCAAAACUACCGGACUAGAGUGCGGGAGAGGGAGGUGGAAUUCCGGGUGUAGUGGUGAAAUGCGUAGAUAUCCGGAGGAACACCAGUGGCGAAAGCGGCCUUCUGGCCCGCAACUGACGCUCAGACGCGAAAGCUAGGGGAGCA
rnacentral:rRNA from 1 species